rnacentral:lncRNA from 1 species
UAAAAUUGCAGUGGGGCAGAUUGAAGCCACAAGUCUUAUAUCCCUGAUGUUGCAGUAGAGUAGACUGAAGAUAGCAAAUUUCAUUUCCCUGAAAUUGUAGUGGAACAAAUUGAAGCUAUAAAUCACAGAUCUUAUCUCUCUAGAGUUGCAGUUGAGUAGAUCAUAUCAAAUCUUAUCUCCCUGAAGUUGCAGUGGAGUAGAUUGAAGCCACUUCCUGUACCCUUGAAGAUGCGGUGAAAGGGAAUGAGGCUACUUAAAAGAAAGAAGCACCAUAAAGUCAAUAUUCGGCAAGAUUAGGCAAAAUUGACCUCUUUAAAGCCUUUGCUCCAUUCUCGUUACACGACAAUGAGCAAAGAGGGCCUGCUGUAAUAGGUCAAUUUUGGCCUAGACCUAAAACCAAAUAAAUAAAACCAAAACAAAUAAAUGAGACCAAGUCCAAAAUAUUUACAAACCAAAUAAUAAGCCCAAACUUACACUACCCAAUUACAGCCCAAAUGCAACAAAAACCAUAGUGGCCCAAUAGCCCAAAAACUAAACAUUUUCAUCAACAAAAAAGGAGGGAAAACCUUAGCCGCCGCCGCCGCCCUAACUGCCGCCACCUCCCCCUCACGCACCGCUCCGUAUGCCAACUGUCUAACGGCUUUGUACCUGCAAAACGAACAAGCUUGAAGAAUCUAAUAACAAUGUAAAAAAUAAGAGAAAAAUAGAAAAAGGGCCCCGGUUUUAUGUUUAUUUCCUUACGAAUGAAUCAAAGAAAAACAGAGAAAAAUCAAUUCAAAUACAGACCAUUUUUGAAGGCAGUUCAUUUUUUUUCUAUUACUAUAUUUUUCCCUCUCUUCAAUUUCGUUCGUUUUUUUAAAUAAAGAAAAAGAAAUCAAAAAUAAUAAAAAGAAGACUGAAACUUACCUUUAUUCGCGUUUUUACUCCAC